UGGGGAAUAUUGGACAAUGGGCGCAAGCCUGAUCCAGCCAUGCCGCGUGUGUGAAGAAGGCCUUUUGGUUGUAAAGCACUUUAAGCGAGGAGGAGGCUACUUGGAUUAAUACUCUAGGAUAGUGGACGUUACUCGCAGAAUAAGCACCGGCUAACUCUGUGCCAGCAGCCGCGGUAAUACAGCGGGUGCGAGCGUUAAUCGGAUUUACUGGGCGUAAAGCGUGCGUAGGCGGCUUCUUAAGUCGGAUGUGAAAUCCCUGAGCUUAACUUAGGAAUUGCAUUCGAUACUGGGAAGCUAGAGUAUGGGAGAGGAUGGUAGAAUUCCAGGUGUAGCGGUGAAAUGCGUAGAGAUCUGGAGGAAUACCGAUGGCGAAGGCAGCCAUCUGGCCUAAUACUGACGCUGAGGUACGAAAGCAUGGGGAGCAAACAGG
rnacentral:rRNA from 1 species